AUAUCAAUAAGCGGAGGAAAAGAAACCAACCGGGAUUGCCUCAGUAACGGCGAGUGAAGCGGCAAAAGCUCAAAUUUGAAAUCUGGCCUGUGGUCCGAAUUGUAAUUUGAAGAAGCGACUCUGGUACCGGCCCUUGUCUAUGUUCCUUGGAACAGGACGUCACAGAGGGUGAGAAUCCCGUGCGAUGGGGAGUCCGGAGCCAUGUAGAGCGUUUUCGACGAGUCGAGUUGUUUGGGAAUGCAGCUCUAAGUGGGUGGUAAAUUCCAUCUAAAGCUAAAUACAGGCGAGAGACCGAUAGCGAACAAGUACUGUGAAGGAAAGAUGAAAAGAACUUUGAAAAGAGAGUGAAAAAGUACGUGAAAUUGUUGAAAGGGAAGGGCUUGGGAUCAGACUUUGUAUUUCCAUGGCGUUCUCUCGGGAGCGUCCUCUGGGUUUACGGGGCCAGCAUGGGUUCUGCGGGCAAGACAAGGGGGACAGGAAUGUGGCUCUGCCUCGGCGGAGUGUUAUAGCCUGGCCUUUUCCGGUUGCCACGCGGGACUGAGGACUGCGAAUCUAGGAUGCUGGCAUAAU
rnacentral:rRNA from 1 species